AGAUUCCGAUCACCAUGAAGAGUGGGCGGGAACUCAGAAUUCGUGACUGUCCAAGUUCCUGAGGGCUGGCUGCUACUGACUCCGAGGGCCCCCAGACAUCACUCUGGAAACGGCAGCUCUGGCUGAAUGUCACUUCCCCGAGAAGCCUUGGAAUACCUCUGACAGACCAGCCCUUAUGCAGUGACAGUGACCUCGGCCAUCCUUCACCCACUUUGUAAUGAUGUGUCUAUUGGUGUGAGACUCUGAGACAUUGAGGACCGAAUCCAUGGAGAAGGAGAGAUGGCUCGGUGGCUAAGAGCACUUACUGCUCCUCCAGAAGACCUUAGUUCUAUGCCCAGAACGCACGGGAAGAAAAUAUAAUAAAAUGAAUUAAAAUAAAAACUACAAAAAAAACAACAGACAAGGGGACAGGACAGAACGAGCCUGAGACACGCCCAGACAAGCCUGAAAACAAGGUCAUGGGAUUGUUCCAGGAACUGGCUAGCCACUACCAAACUCCCUGCUCUACACAUAGAGAUAAGAUGCUCUCCUACACUAUGAACAUUCCAGCCCGCGUGCACUGCUCGCUGAUAUGACCUUGUACCCAUUUCCCUUGCUGAUGUAUGAAUCAACCAAUCAAGUAUAACCACGCCGAAUCCCCUUGCCUUCCCCUAUAAAAAUCCUUGAAUUUCGAGUCUUGGGGUCGACUCCUCUGUCUCCUGUGUGAGAUACGAGCCGUCCCAGGGCUCUGAUAAUAAACUGCCUCGUGUGCUUUACAUGAA